CCUGGCUAGGACGAACGCUGGCGGCGUGCUUAACACAUGCAAGUCGAACGGGGAUAAGUGGAAAGGCUCGGCCCGGAAGACUAAUCGAGUGGCGGACGGGUGAGUAACGCGUGAGCAACCUGUCCCAGACAGGGGGAUAACACUUGGAAACAGGUGCUAAUACCGCAUAAGACCACGGGGUCACAUGGCUCGUGGGGGUAAAAGGAGCAAUCCGGUUUGGGGUGGGCUCGCGUCCGAUUAGAUAGUUGGUGAGGUAACGGCCCACCAAGUCGACGAUCGGUAGCCGACCUGAGAGGGUGAUCGGCCACAUUGGAACUGAGAGACGGUCCAAACUCCUACGGGAGGCAGCAGUGGGGAAUAUUGGGCAAUGGGCGAAAGCCGUGACCCAGCAACGCCGCGUGAGUGAAGAAGGCCUUCGGGUUGUAAAGCUCUGUUAUAGGGGACGAAGGAAGUGACGGUACCCUAUAAGGAAGCCCCGGCUAACUACGUGCCAGCAGCUGC
rnacentral:rRNA from 1 species